CAAUGAACUACUAGCAUGAGAAAGAAGCAAGGGGAAGCUUUGGCCCAGUGCCAGAAAUAUGACAUCACUGACAUAAACAAAACUCAGUGGGACUGGUGCACCAUGCUGGAGGCUUACAGGCUCUUCAGGUGGGAUAGGCAGGGCAGGUGAAGUACGGGUUUAUAACAGAAGGACAAGAAUGCAUGGCGUUUACAACCAGCGAGAGCAGGAUUGAGACCCUCUGGAUUAAGAUUAAGGUAUAAACAAAUAAUGAAGAUGUCACCAUGGGAGGCUGCUAUACAGGCACAACAAUGAGAUCAAUUCCUCAGGUAACCAAGGGAAACCCUCAAAUUUCUCCUUAUGGUGCAAUUCAACCUGCCAGAUGUUAAUUACGGAGACCACACAGCUGUCACAAUCAAAUCAAGGAGAUGCUACAUCACAGUUCAAGUACUGAGAGAGCUGACUAGGUACUCUCCUUGAUUUCAUACUUGUUAACAGGGAGUGUCUCAUGAGUGACAAGGUGAUUGGUGCCAUUCUUGGCCUCAGUGCCCACAAAGUAAUCAAGCUCAAAAUCUGCUGACAGAAGGAAAAGCACAAGCAAAACCUCAACUCUGGAUGUGAGAAGAACAGAUUUCAGGUUGCUCAAGGAAUCAGUCAGUAAGGAUGAGAACAGCCACCUCAUAAACAAGAACAUGGACACGGCAGAGAUGCUUAAUGCUUUCUUUACCUCUAUCCUCAAUGCCAGUGGUGGACUAAGGGCCUUGAGUUGGAGGACAGUGGCUAUGAACUACUGGCAAUUGAAUUAGUUGUGGUGAAUCACAUGGUUCUUCCUGUGGUCUCAGAGAAGUUCUCCACCUCUGCUGGACACAACCAGAGCUAAGACAGGGAAAUAAAAAAGGUAUCUAUUGUAUG